rnacentral:rRNA from 1 species
GACGAACGCUGGCGGCGUGCUUAACACAUGCAAGUCGAGCGGUAAGGCCCCUUCGGGGGUACACGAGCGGCGAACGGGUGAGUAACCCGUGGGUGACCUGCCCUCAGCUCUGGGAUAAGCCCGGGAAACUGGGUCUAAUACUGGAUAUGACCCCAUGACGCAUGUUGUGGGGUGGAAAGCCUUGUGCGGCUGAGGAUGGGCCCGCGGCCUAUCAGCUUGUUGGUGGGGUGAUGGCCUACCAAGGCGACGACGGGUAGCCGGCCUGAGAGGGCGACCGGCCACACUGGGACUGAGACACGGCCCAGACUCCUACGGGAGGCAGCAGUGGGGAAUCUUGCGCAAUGGGCGAAAGCCUGACGCAGCGACGCCGCGUGAGGGAUGACGGCCU